CACCCAACUGCUUGAUACUCAGACCAGGGUCUAUGCUGCUGCUUGUCAACUUCAGAAGUUUAGCCUUUGUGCUAUUUAGGAAGUCUUCUUCAUCACUAAACUCAUCUUCAUUUUCGUCAUGGUCUGAUGAAUCUUCUUCACUUUUUUCAUCCUCUUCCUCUUCUUUUUCUUCCUCAAUGGCAACCUCACUUGCCUUGUCUUCCUCUUCCAAGUAAAAAUUUUUAUCAGCACUCAUUCCAGGAGUUGUGUCAAUUACAAACAAUGCAUUGUCACAUGACAGACUUCCUGUGUCUCCACUUAAUGACUCCCUUUGGCCACUAUUUUCAACAAAACAUAAAGUAUCCUCUUCAUUCUCACUGUUUUCAGACUGUUGGCUUUCAUCACUGCUGAGAACUAGUAAGACAGAAUUAUCUUUACCCUGAGAUGUGUUGGGCGCAGACGUGUAUAGUUUGGUAUCACAUUCAAAAUCUACAUUCCCUUCACUGUUCAUGUCUUCACUGACACUUAUAACUGUGGACUCUUCUUCAUCAUCACUACCACCACAAUCACCAAACUUUGUCAAGUCACUUGCUUUUAUGGGGCUCUUUUUGUUGUUAUUCCAUCUGCCUACUUCCACAGUUGCAAAUGUUUGAGUUAAUGAUUUCAUUACAGCCUCAGAGUUCAGAUUAGAGUGCACUGAUACAGCAUUUUUAUUUUGGGGGGUUGAAUGUCUCUGAGAAACUAACUGUUGAAGGCUAGUGUCCUGAAGUUCAGAAAGAUUCUUCAGCUGAGAACUUUUCUCAUUAAUUUCUUUCCCCUCAUCUGUUAUUCCA
rnacentral:lncRNA from 1 species